GACGAACCGAGCGAACGUUAUUCGGAAUCACUGGGCUUAAAGGGCGCGUAGGCGGGCGAUCAAGUCAGGGGUGAAAGCCCCCAGCUCAACUGGGGAAGUGCCUCUGAUACUGGUCGCCUCGAGGGAGGUAGGGGCGUGCGGAACUUCCGGUGGAGCGGUGAAAUGCGUAGAUAUCGGAAGGAACAUCGGUGGCGAAAGCGGCGCGCUGGACCUCUUCUGACGCUGAGGCGCGAAAGCCAGGGGAGCGAACGGG
rnacentral:rRNA from 1 species